rnacentral:tRNA from 1 species
GCAAUAAUAGCUUAAAUAAGAGCAUUGGUCUUGUAAGCCAAAGGUAAGUUUAAUAUACUUUUAUUGCU